rnacentral:sRNA from 1 species
AAUAAGAAAGUAACCAACUGGAUACGUCAAGUUGGUAAUUUUUCUUACAUCUCCCCCUCCCGGAGCCCAAGUAUCAUAUACGCCCCCUCUAUUAAUCGA